rnacentral:rRNA from 1 species
UCGAGAAUUUUUCACAAUGGGCGAAAGCCUGAUGGAGCGACGCCGCGUGGGGGAUGAAUGGCUUCGGCCCGUAAACCCCUGUCAUUUGCGACUAAACUCUGAAAUUGAACAGAUUUCAGACUGAAAGUAGCGAAAGAGGAAGGGACGGCUAACUCUGUGCCAGCAGCCGCGGUAAUACAGAGGUCCCAAGCGUUGUUCGGAUUUACUGGGCGUAAAGGGUGCGUAGGUGGUAGGGUAAGUUCAAUGUGAAAGCUUCGGGCUCAACCCGAAAAUUGCAUCGAAUACUAUCCUGCUGGAGGGUCGGAUGGGAGACUGGAAUUCUCGGUGUAGCAGUGAAAUGCGUAGAUAUCGAGAGGAACACCUGUGGCGAAGGCGAGUCUCUGGACGAUUCCUGACACUGAGGCACGAAAGCUAGGGGAGCAAACG